rnacentral:tRNA from 1 species
GAGGGUAUAGCUCAGUGGCAGAGUGCAUGCUUAGCAUGCACUUGGUCCUGGGUUCAAUCCCCAGUGCCUCCA